GUGCCCCUCACCUCGGUAAUACGGAGGGUGCGAGCGUUAAUCGGAGUUACUGGGUGUAAAGCGCAUGCAGGUGGUGUGAUAAGUCAGAUGUGAAUGCCCGGGGCUCAACCUCGGAACUGCAUUCGAAACUGUCACACUAGAGUACUGUAGAGGGGGGUAGAAUUUCAGGUGUAGCGGUGAAAUGCGUAGAGAUCUGAAGGAAUACCGGUGGCGAAGGCGGCCCCCUGGACAGAUACUGACACUCAGAUGCGAAAGCGUGGGGAGCAAACAGGAUUAGAUACCCUGGUAGUCCACGCCGUAAACGAUGUCUACUUGGAGGUUGUGGCCUUGAGCCAUGGCUUUCGGAGCUAACGCGUUAAGUAGACCGCCUGGGGAGUACGGUCGCAAGAUUAAAACUCAAAUGAAUUGACGGGGGCCCGCACAAGCGGUGGAGCAUGUGGUUUAAUUCGAUGCAACGCGAAGAACCUUACCUACUCUUGACAUCCAGAGAAGCCAGCGGAGACGCAUGUGUGCCUUCGGGAGCUCUGAGACAGGUGGUGCAUGGCUGUCGUCGGCUCGUGUUGUGAAAUGUUGGGUUAAGUCCCGCAACGAGCGCAACCCUUAUCCUUGUUUGCCAGCGAGUAAUGUCGGGAACUCCAGGGAGACUGCCGGUGAUAAACCGGAGGAAGGUGGGGACGACGUCAAGUCAUCAUGGCCCUUACGAGUAGGGCUACACGAGCUACAAUGGCGCAUACAGAGGGCAGCCAACUUGCGAAAGUGGGCGAAUCCCAAAAGUGCGUCGUAGUCCGGAUUGGAGUCUGCAACUCGACUCCAUGAAGUCGGAAUCGCUAGUAAUCGUGGACCAGAAUGCCACGGUGAAUACGUUCCCGGGCCUUGUACACACCGCCCGUCACACCAUGGGAGUGGGCUGCAAAAGAAGUAGGUAGUUUAACCUUCGGGAGGACGCUUACCACUUUCUGUUUCAUGAGGGGGGGAAGUUGUUUCAAUUUUUUUUAAAA
rnacentral:rRNA from 1 species